rnacentral:rRNA from 1 species
AGUGAACGCUGGCGGUAGGCCUAACACAUGCAAGUCGAACGGCAGCACAGUAAGAGCUUGCUCUUACGGGUGGCGAGUGGCGGACGGGUGAGGAAUACAUCGGAAUCUACUUUUUCGUGGGGGAUAACGUAGGGAAACUGACGCUAAUACCGCAUACGACCUACGGGUGAAAGCAGGGGAGCUUCGGACCUUGCGCGAUUGAAUGAGCCGAUGUCGGAUUAGCUAGUUGGCGGGGUAAGGGCCCACCAAGGCGACGAUCCGUAGCUGGUCUGAGAGGAUGAUCAGCCACACUGGAACUGAGACACGGUCCAGACUCCUACGGGAGGCAGCAGUGGGGAAUAUUGGACAAUGGGCGCAAGCCUGAUCCAGCCAUACCGCGUGGGUGAUGAAGGCCUUCGGGUUGUAAAGCCCUUUUGUUGGGAAAGAAAAGCAGCAGGUUAAUCCCCCGAUGUUCUGACGGUACCCAAAGAAUAAGCACCGGCUAACUUCGUG